AGCGAACGCUGGCGGCAGGCCUAACACAUGCAAGUCGAACGAAGUCUUCGGACUUUGUGGCGGACGGGUGAGUAACACGUGGGAACGUGCCCUUUGGUACGGAAUAACUCAGGGAAACUUGAGCUAAUACCGUAUGUGCCCUUCGGGGGAAAGAUUUAUCGCCAUUGGAGCGGCCCGCGUCUGAUUAGCUAGUUGGUGAGGUAAAGGCUCACCAAGGCGACGAUCAGUAGCUGGUCUGAGAGGAUGAUCAGCCACAUUGGGACUGAGACACGGCCCAAACUCCUACGGGAGGCAGCAGUGGGGAAUCUUGCGCAAUGGGCGAAAGCCUGACGCAGCCAUGCCGCGUGAAUGAUGAAGGUCUUAGGAUUGUAAAAUUCUUUCACCGGGGACGAUAAUGACGGUACCCGGAGAAGAAGCCCCGGCUAACUUCGUGCCAGCCGCCGCCGUAA
rnacentral:rRNA from 1 species